CAUGUACCAGUGGGGUCCCUCGGCCUGGCCUGCACCCUCUCACAAUCCGGGACCCCUUGGGGAAUGUCAGAGUGCCCAUUUCGGCGCGACCCCUGCAGGCCAGGCCGAGGGACCCCAUCGGUGCACA
rfam:Myotis brandtii contig206998, whole genome shotgun sequence.